AUUAUAUUUAGUUCUGUAAAAGGGUUGGAUCCGACGCCUCUAGAAGGCUACUAUAGGCUCUCCUUCUCAACUCCUACUCAAUACGUCCACGACGUGCAGAACGGUAACUUGUCACCUAGAUCUAUAUUUAUCCUAGAGAAGAAGAUCUAUAUUUCUAACAAUCUCAGUGGGGUUCCAUAUCCAUAUGAGGUAGC
rnacentral:ribozyme from 1 species